rnacentral:rRNA from 1 species
AUGGCCAUCAACCCGCUGAUUCUCAAGCGUAUCAACCGCCUCAUCCGCAGCUUCUUGUGGCAUGGCAUCCCGGACCUUCAACGCGCCGGCAUCUCGCUUCGGGCACAGUUGCUGUGGCUACAGAGAACUGAUGCCACACGGCCGUGGCAACACCUCCGCAUCCCAUGCUGCCCGGAGGUCCAGGCCAUCUUCAGGGCAUCGACUACUUGGACGCUUGGCAAUGGCGCAUCGUGCAAGUUCUGGGAGGACCAUUGGCUGGACGGGCAAAGCAUGUCCGAGCUCGCACCCUUGCUUUACUGUAGGGUGUCCAAGCGCCGACGCAAGACACGCACGGUGCGGGAGGGCCUGGAGAACCGCACGUGGAUCGCCGACAUCCAAGGGGCCAUGGGCGCGGCCAUGGCGGUGCAAUACGUCUCGCUCUGGUGACGGCUACGCCAUGUGACCCUGACCGACGAGCCGGACCGCCUGUCCUGGCGCUGGACUAGCACCGGAUCAUACUCUGCCAGCUCCUGCUAUCAUGCCCUCUUCGCCGGCUCCACCAUAGACCCGUACACAAGGCUGGCGAGCUUCAUGGCCCUGCUUCUAAUCUGUAACACCACAUUGUACUGCUACCCUAUCUAUCAAUGCAAAGAUACGCAAAGCUUUUGCGUAUUCGCGAAAAAAAAGAGCUAG